rnacentral:rRNA from 1 species
CAGUCGCCGCGGGAAUACGAAGGGGGCUAGCGUUGCUCGGAAUUACUGGGCGUAAAGGGAGCGUAGGCGGGUCGUUUAGUCAGAGGUGAAAUCCCGGGGCUCAACCUCGGAACUGCCUUUGAUACUGGCGACCUUGAGGAUGGGAGAAGUGAGUGGAAUUUCCGGUGUAGCGGUGAAAUGCGUAGAUAUCGGAAGGAACACCUGUGGCGAAAGCGGCUCACUGGACCAUUUCUGACGCUGAUGCACGAAAGCUAGGGGAGCAAACAGAAUUAGAUACCCCAGUAGUCCCUGUCUCUUAUAC